GACGAACGCUGGCGGCGUGCCUAAUACAUGCAAGUAGAACGAGUUGCGAACGGGUGAGUAACGCGUGGUAACCUGCCUCAUAGCGGGGGAUAAAUAUUGGAAACGGUAGCUAAUACCGCAUACCAUCAGAUGUGCCCAGAUGGGCUUAGCUUGUUGGUGGGGUAACGGUUCGCCAAGGCGACGAUCCCUUGCUGGUCUGCGAGGGUGCCCAGCCGCACUGGAACUGAGACACGGUCCAGACGCCUACGGGAGGCAGCAGUGGGUAAUAUUGCACUAUGGGCGCAAGCCUGAUGCAGCCAUGCCGCGUGUAUGAAGAAGGCCUUCUGGUUGUAAAGUACUUUCAGCGGGGAGGGGUUACCCGCAGAAGAAGCGCCGGCUAACUCCGGGCCAGCAGCCGCGGUAAUAC
rnacentral:rRNA from 1 species